rnacentral:rRNA from 1 species
GACAGAGGCCCCAAGCGUUAGGCGGAAUCACUGGGCUUAAAGCGUGUGGAGGCGGAUCGUUAAGUGUCUUGUGAAAUCCCACGGCUCACCCGUGGAACUGCUGGGCAUACUGGCGAUCUUGGGCCAACUAGGGGCAGCCGGAACAAGCGGUGGAGCGGUGAAAUGCGUAGAUAUCGCUUGGAACGCCGAAGGUGAAAACAGGCUGCUGGGGUUGUGCCGACGCUGAGACACGAAAGCCAGGGGAGCAAACGGG